GGAGAAGGACUGUAGCUCAGUGAUAAGAGUAUCUGUUUUUCAUGCAGAAGGUCCUAACUUCAUUCCCUGGUUUCUCCA